GGGGACGACGUCAAGUCAUCAUGGCCCUUACGAGUAGGGCUACACACGUGCUACAAUGGCGCAUACAGAGGGCGGCCAACCAGCGAUGGUGAGCGAAUCCCAAAAAGUGCGUCGUAGUCCGGAUUGGAGUCUGCAACUCGACUCCAUGAAGUCGGAAUCGCUAGUAAUCGUGAAUCAGAAUGUCACGGUGAAUACGUUCCCGGGCCUUGUACACACCGNNCNUCACACCAUGGGAGUGGGCUGCAAAAGAAGUGGGUAGUUAACCUCGGA
rnacentral:rRNA from 1 species